ensembl:snRNA U1 U1 spliceosomal RNA
CUCCUCACCAGCAUUAUUUCCUUUGAUCAUUUGAACAGGGCGAAGGAGUACCAAGCACACACAAGCUGCAUUCAGUAACGAUUAUCGUGCUGACCCCUGUGAAUUUCCCAAAUGUGGAAAUCUCAAUUGCAUAAUUUAUGGCAGUGGGGGACUAAGUUCACGCUCUCCCCUG